ensembl:lncRNA
UGAGUGGGUCCUGCUGUCCUCCCACACUGCUCCUGUUCCUCACUCCCUGCUGGAAUAAGGCCAGGGGCUCAUGGACAGCUUCCGUGGUGCUUGGUGCUUCUGCUGCAGCUGCCUUGUGCCCCUUAGGGCUGAGUCAGGACACUUGAGGGGAUGACACCCAGAGCAAGCGCUGUGGGCCUCACACAGAAGGCCUGCAGGCACCUGGGCCCGGCUGAGGCCUACAGAUUCAAAUGGUCUCAUUCUGUACACAGACUUCAGGCUCAUAGUAGCCUGCAGCAAAUGGAAAUCAGAAACAGGCUCAGAUUAGUUUCCCCAUGACUCUUCCAACCCUUGUGCUGUCAUUUCUCCUGUGUAACAAACACUGGUGUACAUUUACUGCCGCUCCUGUGCCAGUUCAUGCACGAUCCUCCUUUAAAGGCAGCGUUGCUCUCACUGGGAAAGCACAACAGGAUGUGUGAAGAAGGCCUGGUACAAAGGGUGGCCUGAAGGAAUUAAGUGACUAAGAGAUAUUUUGUGAGACCUUGUGCUGAAAGGUAAUCCAGGCCCAGCAUCUGUAAAGAGGAGGGCAGACAAAUGAGGCCUUCUUUGGCAUUCACCAGUGUAACCCUUGGCGGCUGUUAAACAGAGCUGGCCAACACGCUGUGUGAAUUCAUUAAUAAAAUACGCCCUGGUAUUGCUAGGAGCUAUGUCAGCAAGUUAUUGUUCUUUAAAUACCACAGUAACAUUCAUGUGUGAGGAACACAACACAAGACAGAGGUUUCACCCCAGUUUCAGAGUUUAUCCUUGCUCUUACUUCCCUGAUAAAAGAGGACAGACAACAGGCAUGAAUUGUGCCUGGUAUGUCCAAGUGCUGUGGGCAUGAGUGCAAUUGCUUUCUUGGACGGAGGGAGGAAUGUGAUUUAUGUAAGAACAAGAAGACAACAUAUACUCUCUUGCAGACUAAAAAGGACAUUGUGUGCUGAGACAAAUGCUUCAGGAAGAGGAGGCAGCGGGCAUAGCUGGGAUCUUCCAAUAGUGUCCUUGGCCGUGCUCCUGACAUAUCCUUGACUAUGCCUUUGCAUGCCUCUCCAAGCUAAGCACAGCUGAAGAAAUCUGCAGCUGCAAGGAUGAGCACAGCACAGCCAUGUCAGAGGAGCAGUGCACAGCCCCCAAGGGCCCACAGAUAGGCAGGGCAGAGGAGCCUGCAUGCUGGGUCACUUCAUGGACCACCUGGCUGUGUGACUACGCUUCAGUUUCAGCUCACCUUCAGUAACAUAUAGGGUCUGCUCACAGACAAGCUCUAUUCCUAUUUCCAUAAGCAGAGAGAGACUGAAAUGGAAAAUUUCCUGCAGAGCUGGGGGAAGAAGGGAGGAUAGCACAGUCCCACGGGUGCAAACAGGCUUUUCUGUAGGAUUCUCGCAUCUUGUUGCAGAUUCCCAAAAGUGACCAUCAUCUGCAUUUUUUUCGCAUGAUGGCAUUAAUUCCAACAACUGAAUAAGCAGAGAACAUCUUACUUAGCAUUUUUCAAAGUCAGAGUGUCAUGCCAAGAAUAUGUGCAUGAAUAAUUAUUUAAGAAAAAACACAGGAAGCUUUGCCAAAUUCAGCACAUCAGGAAGCACUUUAAUCCACGUGAUCACGAAGUAUUGCAUUCAGCAGUGCUUUCAUGAUAACAGGCUUUCCUGUUCUUGAACAGCUAAAAUACUUUGUUCCAUCUACAAAGGGACUGGUGACAGUUGCUCUGUACCAUAUUUCCUACACUUUGUCUGACAGAGCAUUCUUUCAAAGGUGCUUGAGCUGCUGAUCCAGACAUUUGUAGAUAUAUACAAGAUGAUAGUAAUUCAAUACUGCAGACUGAGUUGUGCCUCCUGUGAUUACCAACAUCAUUUGAAAUGGAGUGAAUUUGAGAACGGGGAGUGUGACUCACACUGCAUUACGGUCCUUCAGACACAAAGCUGAUGUAAACCCCCAAGUUUCCUUUAAGAAACAGACGAUCAUAACUGCCACCCAGUAGCACUGCGUGUCUUUUUCCUCACUUGACCCACAAACUGUUGAAAGAAAAUAAAAUUCCCCAGAAAUUAAA